rnacentral:rRNA from 1 species
GGGUUGUGAGGUUAAGCGACCAAGCGUACACGGUGGAUGCCCUGGCAGUCAGAGGCGAUGAAGGACGUGCUAAUCUGCGAAAAGCGCCGGUAAGGUGAUAUGAACCGUUAUAACCGGCGAUGUCCGAAUGGGGAAACCCAGUGUGACUCGUCACACUAUCAUUAACUGAAUCCAUAGGUUAAUGAGGCGAACCGGGGGAACUGAAACAUCUAAGUACCCCGAGGAAAAGAAAUCAACCGAGAUUCCCCCAGUAGCGGCGAGCGAACGGGGAGGAGCCCAGAGCCUGAAUCAGCAUGUGUGUUAGUGGAAGCGUCUGGAAAGGCGCGCGAUACAGGGUGAGAGCCCCGUACACAAAAGCGCAUAUGCUGUGAGCUCGAUGAGUAGGGCGGGACACGUGGUAUCCUGUCUGAAUAUGGGGGGACCAUCCUCCAAGGCUAAAUACUCCUGACUGACCGAUAGUGAACCAGUACCGUGAGGGAAAGGCGAAAAGAACCCCGGCGAGGGGAGUGAAACAGAACCUGAAACCGUGUACGUACAAGCAGUGGGAGCCUCUCUUUAUGGGGGGUGACUGCGUACCUUUUGUAUAAUGGGUCAGCGACUUAUAUUCUGUAGCAAGGUUAACCGCAUAGGGGAGCCGAAGGGAAACCGAGUCUUAAUUGGGCGUUAAGUUGCAGGGUAUAGACCCGAAACCCGGUGAUCUAGCCAUGGGCAGGUUGAAGGUUGGGUAACACUAACUGGAGGACCGAACCGACUAAUGUUGAAAAAUUAGCGGAUGACCUGUGGCUGGGGGUGAAAGGCCAAUCAAACCGGGAGAUAGCUGGUUCUCCCCGAAAGCUAUUUAGGUAGCGCCUCGUGAACUCAUCUCCGGGGGUAGAGCACUGUUUCGGCUAGGGGGCCAUCCCGGCUUACCAACCCGAUGCAAACUGCGAAUACCGGAGAAUGUUAUCACGGGAGACACACGGCGGGUGCUAACGUCCGUCGUGAAGAGGGAAACAACCCAGACCGCCAGCUAAGGUCCCAAAGUCAUGGUUAAGUGGGAAACGAUGUGGGAAGGCCCAGACAGCCAGGAUGUUGGCUUAGAAGCAGCCAUCAUUUAAAGAAAGCGUAAUAGCUCACUGGUCGAGUCGGCCUGCGCGGAAGAUGUAACGGGGCUAAACCAUGCACCGAAGCUGCGGCAGCGACACUUUAGUGUUGUUGGGUAGGGGAGCGUUCUGUAAGCCGUUGAAGGUGUCCUGUGAGGGGUGCUGGAGGUAUCAGAAGUGCGAAUGCUGACAUAAGUAACGAUAAAGCGGGUGAAAAGCCCGCUCGCCGGAAGACCAAGGGUUCCUGUCCAACGUUAAUCGGGGCAGGGUGAGUCGACCCCUAAGGCGAGGCCGAAAGGCGUAGUCGAUGGGAAACGGGUUAAUAUUCCCGUACUUGGUGUUACUGCGAAGGGGGGACGGAGAAGGCUAUGUUGGCCGGGCGACGGUAGUCCCGGUUUAAGCGUGUAGGUGUGUGUUCCAGGUAAAUCCGGUUCACUUUAACACUGAGGCGUGAUGACGAGGCACCACGGUGCUGAAGCAACAAAUGCCCUGCUUCCAGGAAAAGCCUCUAAGCAUCAGGUAACAUCAAAUCGUACCCCAAACCGACACAGGUGGUCAGGUAGAGAAUACCAAGGCGCUUGAGAGAACUCGGGUGAAGGAACUAGGCAAAAUGGUGCCGUAACUUCGGGAGAAGGCACGCUGACACGUAGGUGAAGUGAUUUACUCAUGGAGCUGAAGUCAGUCGAAGAUACCAGCUGGCUGCAACUGUUUAUUAAAAACACAGCACUGUGCAAACACGAAAGUGGACGUAUACGGUGUGACGCCUGCCCGGUGCCGGAAGGUUAAUUGAUGGGGUCAGCGCAAGCGAAGCUCCUGAUCGAAGCCCCGGUAAACGGCGGCCGUAACUAUAACGGUCCUAAGGUAGCGAAAUUCCUUGUCGGGUAAGUUCCGACCUGCACGAAUGGCGUAAUGAUGGCCAGGCUGUCUCCACCCGAGACUCAGUGAAAUUGAACUCGCUGUGAAGAUGCAGUGUACCCGCGGCAAGACGGAAAGACCCCGUGAACCUUUACUAUAGCUUGACACUGAACAUUGAGCCUUGAUGUGUAGGAUAGGUGGGAGGCUUUGAAGCGUGGACGCCAGUCUGCGUGGAGCCGACCUUGAAAUACCACCCUUUAAUGUUUGAUGUUCUAACGUGGACCCGUAAUCCGGGUUGCGGACAGUGUCUGGUGGGUAGUUUGACUGGGGCGGUCUCCUCCUAAAGAGUAACGGAGGAGCACGAAGGUUGGCUAAUCCUGGUCGGACAUCAGGAGGUUAGUGCAAUGGCAUAAGCCAGCUUGACUGCGAGCGUGACGGCGCGAGCAGGUGCGAAAGCAGGUCAUAGUGAUCCGGUGGUUCUGAAUGGAAGGGCCAUCGCUCAACGGAUAAAAGGUACUCCGGGGAUAACAGGCUGAUACCGCCCAAGAGUUCAUAUCGACGGCGGUGUUUGGCACCUCGAUGUCGGCUCAUCACAUCCUGGGGCUGAAGUAGGUCCCAAGGGUAUGGCUGUUCGCCAUUUAAAGUGGUACGCGAGCUGGGUUUAGAACGUCGUGAGACAGUUCGGUCCCUAUCUGCCGUGGGCGCUGGAAGACUGAGGGGGGCUGCUCCUAGUACGAGAGGACCGGAGUGGACGCAUCACUGGUGUUCGGGUUGUCAUGCCAAUGGCACUGCCCGGUAGCUAAAUGCGGAAAAGAUAAGUGCUGAAAGCAUCUAAGCACGAAACUUGCCCCGAGAUGAGUCUUCCCUGAGACUUUGAGUCUCCUGAAGGAACGUUAAAGACGAUGACGUUGAUAGGCCGGGUGUGUAAGCGCAGCGAUGCGUUGAGCUAACCGGUACUAAUGAACCGUGAGGCUUAACCUUACAACGCCGAAGCUGUU